GUAGAACGAAAUAGGUGUAAUUUUGUUUGAAGAUAAGGGAACCAUCCUUUAAGCCUAAAUAUAAUAAAUAAUCGAUAGUGAACUAGUACUGCGAAGGAAAGGUGAAAUAGAACUUACGAAAUUGAAAAGAUCUUGAAAUCUAAUGCUUAUAUCAAUUGAAGCUUCAAAAGAAGUGACAAUGUACCUUUUGUAUAAUGGACCAGUAAGUUUAUUUAUAUAGCAAGUUUAAAUCAAAAGAUGUAGACUUAGUAAAAGCGAAUUUGAAUAGAAUUUAUAAGUUAUAUAAAUAAGACCCGAAACCAAGUGAUCUAAUUAUGAAUAAGUUGACAAAAUAUUAAUUUAUUUUUGAGGACUGAACCCGUGUCUGUUGCAUAAGAUUGGGAUGAUUUGUGAUUAGGGGUGAAAGGCUAAUCAAACUUGGAGAUAGCUGGUUUUCUGUGAAAUCUAUUUACGUAAAGUGUUAAAAUUAAUAUUUUGUGGUAGAGAUAUCGAUAAAAGAGGGUUGCCCAUAAAGCUUUACCAAUUUUAAGGAAACUUCGAAUACAAAAUAUUAUUUUGAUAAUCGGACUUAUAAUGCUAAGGUUGUAGGUCGAGAGGGAAACAGCCCAGAUUGUUUAUUAAGGUCUUUAAAUUAUAAAUUUUCUCAUAAGAAAUGAAUUUUUAAAUUGUGAUAACUAAGAGUUAGGUUCAGAAGCAGCCAUUCUUUAAAGAAAGCGUAAAAGCUCAUUGGUUUAAUUUAAAAAUUCGGACGAUGUAGGGAGAUUUGAAGAAAUAUACCGAAAUAGCAAAUUUAAAUAAAUAAGUUUAAAUGGUAACAGAACGUUCUGUAUGCAAAAAAAUAAAUUGAAAAAUUUAUUAGUGUAUCAGAAGUGAUAAUACUGGUAUGAGUAAUCUAAAUAAUAUAAAAUAGGUAAUUAAUUAUUAUCGUCGAAAAUUUAAGGUUUUUAAUUUAUAAUUGUUAAACAAAAUUAAGUAAUGCGGUCUCUAAAAAUUAGGUGAAAACUGAUUUUGAUGAGUAUUAUUAAAAAGGACUUAAACAAUUAAAGGAUAUACUUUAAUUAAAUUUAAUUCAAAAAACUUUUUUAUAAAACCGUACUAAAAACCAACACAGGUAAAUGGGUAGAGUAUACUAAGACGAUAAAGUGAAUCAUAGUGAAGGAACUCGGCAAAUUAACCUUGUAACUUCGGAAGAAAAGGUUUUUAUUAAGUAUAUUACUUAAUAAAAUAAUAUAAAAGGGGGUAGCGACUGUUUAAUAAAAACACAGGACUUUGCUAAAUCGUAAGAUGAUGUAUAAGGUCUGACACCUGCCAGGAACUGUGUAGUUAAAAUUAAAGAUAAUUAUUUUUAAUAUAAGCAGCAGUAAUCGGCGGCCAUAACUCUGAUGGUCCUAAGGUAGCGAAAUUCCUUGUCAACUAAUUAUUGACGUGCAUGAAUGGUGUAACGACUUCCCCACUGUCUCCACUAUGAGCUUUGUGAAAUUGAAAUAUUCGUGAAGAUGCGAAUUAUAUAUGGUUAGACGGUAAGACCCCGUGCACCUUUACUACAAUUUUUUAUUGAUUAUUUUUAUAAAAUUGUGUAGAAUAAGUGGGAGUUUAAAUUUAGUUUUAAACAACAAUGAAAUACCACUCGUUUUAUGAUUAAUAACUAACUUUAAAAAAAAUUUAAAGGACAUAUAUAAGAUUGGUAGUUUAACUGGGGUGGUUUUCUCCAAAAAAGUAACGGAGAAAUAUA
rnacentral:rRNA from 1 species